CCACGCCCUAAACGAUGUAUACUAGUUGUUGCUUUGCUAGUCAAGGCAGUAAUGCACCUAACGGAUUAAGUAUACCGCCUGGGGAGUACGGUCGCAAGAUUAAAACUCAAAGGAAUAGACGGGGACCCGCACAAGCGGUGGAGCAUGUGGUUUAAUUCGAAGAUACGCGAAGAACCUUACCUAGGCUUGAUAUCCAACAAAUUCUGUAGAGAUACGGAAGCGCUAGCUUGCUAGAAUGUUGAGACAGGUGCUGCACGGCUGU
rnacentral:rRNA from 1 species